GUGCCCUUAGCUCAGUUGGUAGAGCAACUGACUUUUAAUCAGUAGGUCACAGGUUCGAACCCUGUAGGGCACACCA
rnacentral:tRNA from 4 species